AUGGUUGAUACAAAGAAAAAAAUAAAGUAUGCGGUGAUAAAGUGGGCUAUGUCUACGCAGAGUGUUUUCCGGACACACAUAUCAAGUCCAACAAACUAUACCAUGAAGUGUGUUGAAAUAGGUUGUCCUGGGAAGGUCCACGGGCACGUGCCGAAGUAUAACAUCCACUGGGUUGUCACCGAUGUCGUCCCACAUAAUUGUGUGAGAAACCUUCUGGUGAAUCAUCCAAACCUGACUUGAACUCUCAUUGCGCAACUCAUAUAUACUGAGAUAGUGCAUAAGAAAGAUAUGGAAGCAAAAAACAUCCAGACAGCAGUGAAGCUCAGAUGGAAUUAUUAUAUUCCUUAUGGGAAGGCUUGGAGGACUAAGCAGAAGGUUAUGGAGGAAAGGUUUGGGACGCGGCUCAUAUGA
rnacentral:rRNA from 1 species